GGGCAGGGUGAAGGUGCAGUAACAUGCACUGGAGGCCCGAACCGUUGAGCGUUGAAAAGCUCUCGGAUGACCUGUGUCUAGGGGUGAAAGGCCAAUCAAACUCGGAGAUAGCUGGUUCUCUGCGAAAUCUAUUUAGGUAGAGCGUCAGAUGAAUACUCCAGGGGGUAGAGCACUGAAUGGGCUAGGGGUCCUCACCGGAUUACCAAACCUUAUCAAACUCCGAAUACCUGGAAGUACUAUCUGGCAGACACACUGCGGGUGCUAACGUCCGUAGUGGAGAGGGAAACAACCCUGAACGCCAAUUAAGGUCCCCAAAUUAUGGCUAAGUG
rnacentral:rRNA from 1 species